rnacentral:rRNA from 1 species
AGGACGAACGCUGGCGGCGUGCUUAACACAUGCAAGUCGAACGGAAAGGCCCUUCGGGGUACUCGAGUGGCGAACGGGUAAGUAACACGUGGGUGAUCUGCCCUGCACUUUGGGAUAAGCCUGGGAAACUGGGUCUAAUACCGAAUAUGACCUCAGGAUGCAUGUCUUGUGGUGGAAAGCUUUUGCGGUGUGGGAUGGGCCCGCGGCCUAUCAGCUUGUUGGUGGGGUGAUGGCCUACCAAGGCGACGACGGGUAGCCGGCCUGAGAGGGUGUCCGGCCACACUGGGACUGAGAUACGGCCCAGACUCCUACGGGAGGCAGCAGUGGGGAAUAUUGCACAAUGGGCGCAAGCCUGAUGCAGCGACGCCGCGUGGGGGAUGACGGCCUUCGGGUUGUAAACCCGUUUCAGCACAGACGAAGCGCAAGUGACGGUAUGUGCAGAAGAGCACCGGCCAACUACGUGCCAGCAGCCGCGGU